GAUGAACGCUGGCGGCGUGCCUAAUACAUGCAAGUCGAGCGAACAGACGAGGAGCUUGCUCCUCUGACGUUAGCGGCGGACGGGUGAGUAACACGUGGAUAACCUACCUAUAAGACUGGGAUAACUUCGGGAAACCGGAGCUAAUACCGGAUAAUAUAUUGAACCGCAUGGUUCAAUAGUGAAAGACGGUUUUGCUGUCACUUAUAGAUGGAUCCGCGCCGCAUUAGCUAGUUGGUAAGGUAACGGCUUACCAAGGCGACGAUGCGUAGCCGACCUGAGAGGGUGAUCGGCCACACUGGAACUGAGACACGGUCCAGACUCCUACGGGAGGCAGCAGUGGGGAAUCUUCCGCAAUGGGCGAAAGCUUGACGGAGCAACGCCGCGUGGGUGAUGAAGGUCUUCGGGUCGUAAAGCUCUGUUAUUAGGGAAGAACAAAUGUGUAAGUAACUAUGCACGUCUUGACGGUACCUAAUCAGAAAGCCACGGCUAACUACGUG
rnacentral:rRNA from 1 species